GCCUCGUUGGCGCAGUAGGCAGCGUGUCAGUCUCAUAAUCUGAAGGUCGUCAGUUCGAGCCUCACAUGGGGCA
rnacentral:tRNA from 1 species